AAAGAUGGAAGGACCCCAUGGAUGCAACCUGAAAGGAAAAAAAAGAAAUAAGAAAGGUAGACUUGAGAAACAGCCGCAAUUCAUGGGUAGGUGCAUUAUAUAGAAAUACAUCUCUCAACUGACCCAGAUUUGUAGGAGUGGAGAUAAUGGCCCUAAAAGAAGGAGAUAACCACCAGAUAAGUGGAGAUCAUGGGGCAAAAAAAUUGGAGCAAAACCACCAACUGCAUAACUGCAAAUAACUGCUCUGAACCGCCAUAGGAGCGGUUAUUUUUAUGAGUUUACACGGCCCAGAUUUAAUCUUAGCAUAAUCCAACGGAUGAUAUUGAUUUCAAAGGUAACUUUCACUUAAUGGGUUCCAUAUAUAUAUA
rnacentral:lncRNA from 1 species